rnacentral:lncRNA from 1 species
GGGAUCUCGCUUCGCCGGACGUUCAGCGAAUCACCGCAGAAUAACCUUGUCAGCAACAACGCGGCCGAUCCGGCGAGCCUCGGCGCACGGGCGGAGGAGAAGAAGCAGGAGCUGCUCCAGAUCCUCCGGCAGAUGGACCGUCGCCACUGCAAAAACUUCGACAUGGAGAUGGAGAACAAGAAGCUGGUCCACCUGCUUGCGCGAUCCUCUCAUCCUGCACCAUAGUACGUAAUUCAUAAAUUAAUUAUGCCCUGAGUGUUAAGGCGUACUAUUUUCUUGUGAGUGAUCUUACUAAUGAAUUCUACUAUUAUCUAACUCGCUUGGUUUUCAUUUAUUUGCAGCUCAAUUGGAUAUUUUCUAGAGAACCAUUGGUUAAAAUCCACGGCCGGGGCGUCUCUUGGGCUCCUUGCACUCAUCUACGUGGAGGCAGAGUAUGUAAUUCCUGCGAUCGAUCGAGUAUGUAAGAUGGUGAAGGCGUGAAAGCAGCUCUGACGUGUGAGAAAGCAGAAUGAUAAACGUUAAUUCUUAUGUGUAUAUAUUCCUUAGCAGUUAGUAAAAGAAUUGUCAGAAUUUCUCAAAGUGGACGUGUAUGUUGUUGAGCAGUGGUUAUGAAGAAUUGAUGAUUGAUC